GAUGAACGCUGGCGGCGUGCCUAAUACAUGCAAGUCGAGCGAACAGAUGAGGAGCUUGCUCCUCUGACGUCAGCGGCGGACGGGUGAGUAACACGUGGAUAACCUACCUAUAAGACUGGGAUAACUUCGGGAAACCGGAGCUAAUACCGGAUAAUAUAUUGAACCGCAUGGUUCAAUAGUGAAAGACGGUUUUGCUGUCACUUAUAGAUGGAUCCGCGCCGCAUUAGCUAGUUGGUAAGGUAACGGCUUACCAAGGCAACGAUGCGUAGCCGACCUGAGAGGGUGAUCGGCCACACUGGAACUGAGACACGGUCCAGACUCCUACGGGAGGCAGCAGUAGGGAAUCUUCCGCAAUGGGCGAAAGCCUGACGGAGCAACGCCGCGUGAGUGAUGAAGGUCUUCGGAUCGUAAAACUCUGUUAUUAGGGAAGAACAAAUGUGUAAGUACUAUGCACGUCUUGACGGUACCUAAUCAGAAAGCCACGGCUAACUACGUG
rnacentral:rRNA from 1 species